rnacentral:rRNA from 1 species
AUUGAACGCUGGCGGCAUGCCUUACACAUGCAAGUCGAACGGCAGCACGGGAGCAAUCCUGGUGGCGAGUGGCGAACGGGUGAGUAAAGUAUCGGAACGUGCCCAGUCGUGGGGGAUAACGUAGCGAAAGCUACGCUAAUACCGCAUACGAUCUAUGGAUGAAAGCGGGGGACCGCAAGGCCUCGCGCGAUUGGAGCGGCCGAUAUCAGAUUAGGUAGUUGGUGGGGUAAAGGCCCACCAAGCCGACGAUCUGUAGCUGGUCUGAGAGGACGACCAGCCACACUGGGACUGAGACACGGCCCAGACUCCUACGGGAGGCAGCAGUGGGGAAUUUUGGACAAUGGGCGCAAGCCUGAUCCAGCAAUGCCGCGUGCAGGAUGAAGGCCUUCGGGUUGUAAACUGCUUUUGUACGGAGCGAAAAGGCUCUCGCUAAUACUGGGGGCUCAUGACGGUACCGUAAGAAUAAGCACCGGCUGACUACGCGCCAGCAGCCGCGGUAA